rnacentral:rRNA from 1 species
UGGGGAAUAUUGCACAAUGGGCGCGAGCCUGAUGCAGCCAUGCCGCGUGUGUGAAGAAGGCCUUCGGGUUGUAAAGCACUUUCAGCGGGGAGGAAGGCGUUAAGGUUAAUAACCUUGGCGAUUGACGUUACCCGCAGAAGAAGCACCGGCUAACUCCGUGCCAGCAGCCGCGGUAAUACGGAGGGUGCAAGCGUUAAUCGGAAUUACUGGGCGUAAAGCGCACGCAGGCGGUCUGUCAAGUCGGAUGUGAAAUCCCCGGGCUCAACCUGGGAACUGCAUUCGAAACUGGCAGGCUAGAGUCUUGUAGAGGGGGGUAGAAUUCCAGGUGUAGCGGUGAAAUGCGUAGAGAUCUGGAGGAAUACCGGUGGCGAAGGCGGCCCCCUGGACAAAGACUGACGCUCAGGUGCGAAAGCGUGGGGAGCAAACAGG